rnacentral:rRNA from 1 species
CUACGGGUUGCUCCAGUGAGGAAUAUUGCACAAUGGGGGAAACCCUGAUGCAGCAACGCCGCGUGGAGGAUGACGCAUUUCGGUGUGUAAACUCCUUUUAUCAGAGAAGAAAAUGACGGUAUCUGAUGAAUAAGCUCCGGCUAACUCCGUGCCAGCAGCCGCGGUAAUACGGAGGGAGCAAGCGUUAUUCGGAAUCACUGGGCGUAAAGGACGCGUAGGCGGGUUUUUAAGUCAGGUGUGAAAUCCUAUGGCUCAACCAUAGAACUGCACUUGAAACUGGGACCUAGAGUAUGGAAGGGGCAGGUGGAAUUAGUGGUGUAAGGGUAAAAUCCGUAGAUAUCACUAGGAAUACCGAAAGCGAAGGCGACCUGCUGGGACAUUACUGACGCUGAGGCACGAAAGCGUGGGGAGCGAACAGGAUUAGAUACCCUUGUAGUC